UAGGGAAUCUUCGGCAAUGGACGGAAGUCUGACCGAGCAACGCCGCGUGAGUGAAGAAGGUUUUCGGAUCGUAAAGCUCUGUUGUUAAGAGAAGAACGAGUGUGAGAGUGGGAAAGUUCACACUGUGACGGUAUCUUACCGAAAGGGACGGCUAACUACGUGCCAGCAGCCGCGGUAAUACGUAGGUCCCGAGCGUUGUCCGGAUUUAGUGGGCGUAAAGCGAGCGCAGGCGGUUAGAUAAGUCUGAAGUUAAAGGCUGUGGCUUAACCAUAGUAGGCUUUGGAAACUGUUUAACUUGAGUGGCAAGAGGGGAGAGUGGAAUCCAUGUAGCGGUGAAAUGCGUAGAUAUAUGGAGGAACACCGGUGGCGAAAGCGGCUCUCUGGCUUGUAACUGACGCUGAGGCUCGAAAGCGUGGGGAGCAAACAGGAUUAGAUACCCUGGUAGUCCACGCUGUAAACGAUGAGUGCUAGGUGUUAGACCCUUUCCGGGGUUUAGUGCCGUAGCUAACGCAUUAAGCACUCCGCCUGGGGAGUACGACCGCAAGGUUG
rnacentral:rRNA from 1 species